UUUUUUUUUUUUUGGUCCGUAGAUUAUCGUUGUCAUUGAGAGAUGAAGUCUUGUCAUUGAGAGAUGAAGUCUCUGGUGCCAUGCAACCCUCGGGCCAGCUUUUGAAGUUAUUUCACCGCCGAGUGAUGAAUUAUAUUCUCUGGACUUUUGGCAGACGUAGGUGGUGGCUGGAAAAAGGGAGACACUAGAUACCACAAAUUUAAACUUUUAUCCUGAGUUUAGGAUCCUCUUAGAUUUUCAGAGCUAAACACGGGUUCCUUGUACAUUUUUUAACUGCAGUGGCUUAGAAAAUCCUCUCCAGUUAAACAGGCAUUUUUUUUUUUUUUUAGUGAGUUAUGUAACCUAGCCAAUAAGUACAAUAUAGCAGGUACCUUGUUAAGUACAUUAAAUAACGAAUGUUAUCUUAGUUGACCCUCAGAGAAACUUACAAAGAAUGAAGUAACGUUAUUCUCCUCCUGUCCACGGGGCAAAACGUUGAGACUGCCCAUGCAAAAGUGCUGUAAGUGUAACUGAAUUAAAUACAGUUUGAAUUGGUGUAAAUGGAACCAGGGGGACGCAAGCCCGUGUAUUCUGUUGCUUACAAGCUGCGUGUCUUUUGACACAUCCUACCCUUUCAUGUCCUCAGUUUGUUCAUUCAUAGAAUGCUGGUUCGGGUAUAACCAGACUUCUUAACCACUUUUUUUUUUUCUUUCUUCAUCCUAAGCCUCCGGUUAGCUUAAAAGGUGAUUCUAGAUGUUACACUUAAGCCCUGAAGUGAAGGAUAGAAUUCUGGUUGGGGGAAUGCUGUCUGAAGUAGCUCUAGAUUCAGCACCAUUUGGGGGGCACUGGGAGAUCUGUAAAUGGUGAGCCAACUUGUAAUAGUAGGUGGCCGUGAAUGAGAUCACCUGUUUGCUGCGUAAGAGAAUCUUUGUGAUUGCUUGGCCUUUAGAGGCCGUUGGUGUGCUGUUCUUAAAUGCACCAUCGAGGUUCACCGUGCGAGGAAAUCCCAGGCUGCUUAUUUGUAAAGUAAGGCGUGUUUAAAAGAAAGUCCUCUCUGCUUAUUUACAAACACAGAUUUCUACUGGCUGGUUUUACACAUAUUAAAGAGUAAUUAGGGAGAGGCUUAGACUCCACAGAACAUAGGCUUGAACAGCAUACAGAUGUGCUUGAUUUAUGUGUCCCUUCGUCAGAAUUGUCUGCAUUUAUGUAAAUGAAGCUAAGAUUUAAUCUGUAAAUUGGCAAGGUAGGAUAACACAUGUAAAUCACCAUCGCAGCUUUGGGAUCAAGUAACGACCACAGGACAAUAGGGACUAUUAAGAUUUUCAAUGGCUAAAGUUUCACUUUAAAGACCAAUAGGCUUAGACAUCCGGUGAGUACUGAUGUGGAUUGUGGCUUGUGUUUAUCAGUUUCAGAGCAGAGCUUUGAAAAGUUCUUUUGUCGGUUUGAGCUGGUGAUACCUCUGCUCAGGCCCUUGCUGUUCAUUCUUUAGCUGAAGAGUUCACAGUUUCUAGAUUACCUGCUAGGAAACUCUGGGGGUGUUUGUCCAACGUGCAGUUCCCAAAUGACAUCAAAAUCUGUAUCAGAAUCUUUGUGUAUUGAGGUUUUGGAGAUCCAGUGAGGACCUGCAGGACAUGUGGUACCUUACAGGUUACCAGCAGGCAACUUCAUAGUUCCGUUUGAUGCUGUUCUUUAGAGCUGCACUAAGGGAGGGUACUGGGCCCGAGGGAAGGUUUGAGAAGUGCCUUGCUUGUCUUCCGGUCCCACUGCCAGUAGCAUAGACUGGGUGGGAUUCUGUAAUAAUAACCUUUAAAUACCUUUUAUUUCUCAUUUCUCCAUCUUGCUGUAAGCAGAGUGAUUACCAAAAGAAAUGAUAGCAAAGUCCAGGAAAAUGCAUGGCAGAAAUAUGUUCGGAGAAGUUUGGGGCACAUGGGAUAUAUUGUCAAUAAAUAGUAUCUAGUGGGUACAAAAUAUUGCUCUAGGCAUUAGAGGUUCAGCAAGGAAUGGGGAGGGAAAGGUUUUAUUUCUCAAGGAAUUUACUCACAUAUAUUGACCACAUGAUAAUACCCAAAUCCAUACGUUCAUGGUAGAUGGAUAUGGGUCCUUUGGGAGGUAGGUAGAUUAAGUGAUGACUGUGCAGCCCCAUGACAACAUUGGUGUCUUUAUGAGAUGAUGACAGCUGAGUUUGUGUGCUCCCUCUCUCUCACCAUGUGAUACCUACCUUCUGUCAUGUGAGGAUGUAGCAGGAAGGGCCUUGCCAGACGUCACCAUAGACUUUCCAGCCUCCAGACCGUAAGGAAUGACUCCAUUUAUAAAUUCUUCAGCCUGGCACUGGUAUAGCAGCAGGAGAGAUUGCUGGUGGGUCAAGUGUAGAGAACCCCAACUGGAUGCAGUGAUUCGGGGAGACGAGAGAUGGUGUGAAGACAGAUUCUGCUUUGAAGGCAUAGCUAGCAGGGCUGUCUGGUGAGCUGUUGCUGUAGCACUGUUCCAAAGUGUUAAACCCUCCACAUUCUCCCUUUAGAAGCUGACAGCUCUGUGGUGAACAGCACUCGAUGUAUUGCCUCCCCUUGUCUGUAAGGGCCUUCACAUGCUUUGAGGAAUGCUGGCUGGAAGGACAACACACAGAUGUGAAAGCUUCCAGUCAGAGGCUGGACCCUUUCCCCUUCUCACAUCUGUUUGGAAAGAAGAUUCUUAGCGGCCUGGGUGAAGUGAGUUGCCAGGCAUCUUCCCUUUUUCCACAGCAGCACGGAGGGAGGUAAGCAUGCGGGCUUUGUCUUCCGAAAAUGCGCACCCACUAUGUCCUUGGUUUUUAACCUGAGAACAGAAGACCCAUGUUCUACAGAGCUGUCUCCACUCCAAUCACUAACACUGGGGUGGGAGGUCCUUUGGAUCUUGGUUGCAUCCUGCGAUUUCCAUUUCUAUACUCUGUAGACACGUGGUUCUGGGGGUGUCCAUGAUGGCUGAAACACCCUCCCACAGGUGUCACUUCUAGGUUAUUUCGUUGUGAUUCACUAAAGAGGAGUGUGUGUGUGUGUGUGUGUGAGUGUGUGUGUGUUAGGAGCUGGUACUGGGGAGGAGCUCAGGGCAUUGCCCUUCACCAUGUGCCCCACUGUAGCCCUACCUGUGUGCAUCCUUAAUGCCAUGGUGGCAUAUUGCUGGGUUAAUGUCAUCCCAGGCUUUGCCCUCAUCCCUCCUGUGCUGAGCCCCUCCCUUCUCAAAGCCUGCCCUGCUCCUUCUUUCUCCGCAAGCACAAGAGCCUUUUGUGGGCCCCGAGAUGUCAUUCCAACACAGCUUUGUGCCAGCAACUGUGGGUUCUCCUUAAGGUAACUGUGGGUGGCCCUCCAUUUAUUUUCCUGCUUCCUUUUUGUUUCUGUGAAUUCUGCCCUCCAGGCCCCCUCCCCGCAGCACAUGCCGUCCGUGUCAUCUGAAUGGCCACUUAGAGGAAGGAUCAGAAGUUUGUUGUUUCAUUUCCAGCAUAAAUCAAAACUUUGUGUUCAGGCUGCGAUGCGAGUGAGCCCAGGAAUAGCUUUGGGAUUGCUAAGUGUCUGGAGAGCACCGACUACAGACAUGUUUUGAAGCUGGUCAUAAUAGUUGCUACAGCUGCUAACAGUUCCUGGAAGAAUGGUAGCAUUAUCCACCAGGCCUUAAAAUGUGCCGGGCUUGCAUUGCGCAGAAGUCACACUGGGGUAGAUGUGGAUUUUUUUUUUCCCUUUCUGAAACUCAGCCAUAAAAGUCUUCAAUAACUAGAGAAAUUCCUUUCACCGCUGAAUCCAACAUGAAGGACAUUGUGUUGUGACAAUUCCAUAUCACAGCCCAUGAACGUUGUCUUUGUGUGAGUGGAUGUACGAGCUGUACUGUUUUGUUUUUAUUUAUUCUGCAUUCUUUAUUUUAAUGUCCUUUCCUUUUUCCUGACCAGAAAGAUUGUUAUUGAGCCCUUCACAAAGCUGAAAUCCUGCAGUGUGUUAAAAAAAUGUUAACAAUUCAAAGAAGUUAUAAAAAUUUAUAAGUUGGCAGAAUGCUUGGGAAAUAUCUACAUAUUUUAAUAUAAAUAGAUAAUGCAAAUAUUUGUUCAUUGCAUUGAGAGAUGAGUCUCUGUUUUCCAAAAGACCCUGCUAUUUAAAUUUGAUUUAUUUGAUUACAUUGAAAUAAAGGGUGUCCACAGUGAAUGAGGCCAAAGAUGAAAUGCCACCAUUGUGAGCAAGUGAAAGACAGUAGGUCAGCUAUAUUACUGCAUUGUGGGGCUAAAUGGUCCCUUCCCAGCAGUGGGCUGGUUUGGUGAUUAGAAUUCUCAUGAAGGUGACUUGCUCUUAAUUAUUUUCCUUUUGAGAUUUCUAAUUUGAGAUGAAGGUUUAGAGUUUUAGAAGAGUGAUCAGCUCUCCCCUUCCCCCCAUCUCCUUCUCUUUCUCUUGGUUAGUUUUACUGUCUCCUUAGAAAAUGAACUGCCAAGGCUGGAGAGAUGAGAUGGCUCAGCAGGUAAGAGUAUUUGCUGCUGAAUUUGAUCCCCAGGACCCUCGUGGUAGAAGGAGAGGACUGACUCCUGAAAGCUGUCCUCUGACUUCCACACAUCACAAUUAAUUGUGGCUUGCACAAUUACACACGCAUGAAUACACACAUAAAUGUAGUUAACAUUUUUUUUAAAGUAUACUGGCAGACUUAAGGUAAGCCUGGGUUGGCUAUACUGAGGGGAUAACUGUAUAAAGAAAGGUAAGUAGAGUUUACUUACGUAAUUAGCAUGAAGAGGGAGGGGAUGCUCUGCUUGGCUUUUAUGAUCAAGAUAUACACAUUUAGGAUAAACCUGGGCCAAAUGUCUGUGUAGAAGGACUAGAAUCUAGUGUUCUAGGUCUUUCUGAAGGUCAGGUCAAGGUUGCUAGUGGAAACCUAGAGGAUGGGUGGAGCUCCACAGGACAACCUACCAAAUAGGUCUCCCCAUCUGAGAGGAGACUCAGGUUGCUCUCUAGGGAUCAGACUGCAGGCUGGAAUACCUGGCACCUUGGAAGUAUCUGCAGGAGGCAGCUUCUUCCACAGAGUCUGUGGCAAAUCAAGAAGGUGCCCUCAGGAGAUGAGAACAGACAAUGGCUGAAGGGGCAGCUCUGUAGUUAAGACACAAGAGUUAUGGGGCUCAGCUUUGAUGUUCCCAAAUUAAAAAGCAAGAAGCUGCCUUCAGGAGAAAAGCUCUGCAAAGCGCUAGUGAGUGGUCACACCUCACAUUCCCCAGCACCAGCUUCACCUGCCAAGGCCCCGGGGUCGGGAGAGACCAAGGGGCACAAGAGGAAAGGAUGAAGGCUACACCCAGGAUUGAGCAAGUCCAUGCACCCAAACACACAAACUGUCUCACAGCAUCAUCUGGACAGCCACUGGCUGCCAUCCCACACUAUGGCAGACUCACUCCAUGCUGCCCAGGGCCAGUACGCAUGCUACUCAUAGCCUUUAGCUCUCUGAGGCUUGGGUGAACUCAGUACACCUGAGGAGUCUGGCCUUCCAUGGGAAAGAGGCUUAAAGAGGAAUGAUGUUGAUAACGUCUCCCUGGCAGAACCCAGAACAGAGACUUUUACUGUCCUAAACCAGAAGGCCCCACUUGACUGAGAAAUAACAUCAACAGCUAAUAUUUGUAGAAGGCUUACAGUGUGUCAAACAUUGGAGAGCUUCUUUAAAAAGAAAUGACAGAGCCGAGCCUGUUGCACGUGCCUGCAAUUGGGAGGCUGAAGCAGGAGCAUUGAGAACGGGUGGCUAACCUGCACUCCACAGAGGGAGCCUGUCUCAAGGAAGGCAACGUGGGCUCUGGGGAGAUGGCUGUGUGGUUUAGAGUAGUUAUUGCUCUUUUAUUUUCUAGCACCCACAUGGUAGCUCACAACCAUCUGUAACUCCAGUCCCAGGAGAUCUGAACUCCUUUUUAUGACUUCUGAGGACGCCAGUCAUGUGCGUAAUGCAGGCAAAACACUCGUAUACAUCAACAGAUUUUAAAAAGGUGAAAUAAAAUCAGCUGUAGCAUAAACUACAGACAGAAUUGUCAAAGUAGCCUAAGGAAAGAUGAAGCCUAAGCAGAGGUGGCCCAGGAAACAUAGAGGGAAACUAUUUUAAUCCUGUAUUUUCAGACACUGGGACCCUGGGCAUUGCUGACAUCUUGCUCUGGCCUUGUCUCCGCAGUCUUUGUGGUCUCCAAUGGAAGAAUUCCAAGGAGACCUACUGAGUAAGGUAUAGAACGUGCUCUUGGAAAAGGAGCCAGGUUGUAAGACUCUUCUUGUGAAAGGGUGUAUCUAUACAAAUGUAAAUUAAUUAAGAGUAUCUGAAAUCAUGCAUCCAUUGUGGAAUCUCAUAAUGCUAUCAAAUGGUUGUGUAUGUAUGUGUGUGUGAGGGGAUGCGUGUGUAUGUGUAUGUAUGUAUAUAUGUGUAUCAGGGCAUAUGUGUGGGUACAGUCAUAUUGUCAAAUAUAGGAAAGGUACUGAGGGACAGAUGAGGGAUAUCUGGUGGCUAGUGGUAAUCACACCUGACUCAACUCCACUUCCCAUCAGCACUUGGUUUCUUUACCCCCUCUCAACUCCAGCACUUUCUGCCUGGGCAAGAAUCCAGGUACUUCCAGAACUGGGGAAAUCCUUUUUUGUGUUUUCUUCUUGAGUAUACUUCAGGGUGGGGCUUGGGAGCAGAGGAAAGAAUGAGGUGGAGGAGUGAGGGACUCUCCGAAUAUGACAGUGUUUGGAAGAGGUGGGAAGUGCUUUAUGUAGAAGAGGGUGCAGACAAAACUCUAGAGAUUCUGAAGGAUAGGCGACCUUAAAGACCACCAAGGAAGAUGUUCCAGAGGUGACCCAGAAAGUGGGCCUGAAAGGGUGUGUAGUAUUUCUUUAUUUUUACUUUUUCUGUGCAUGGGUGGAAGAGCAUUAAGCCUGAAUGGGCAUUGCACCACAACACGUGUGUCUGAAGCAGGAGCAUGCGUUCUUCCACCCAAGCUCCUUGUGAGAUCUAGGGGUUAGCAGUACCGUGGACUCUGACUGUGUUCUGGGCGGUGGCCCGCCCCUGGCCUCCCACCUCCUUCUCUCCCUCCUCCUCUUCCUUUCAUUUCCAUCACACUUUUAUUACACUGUGUCCUUGACACUUGUUUUAUUAAGCGCUGAGACCAGCAUUCUCCUCCUUGGGAUGCCCUGUGACCAGGAUGGAAGUGGUGUUAGGUGGCUUCAAAAUCCAGGUCAUGGAACGUGAAGAAGCCUCCUCCCAGAACUGUUGGGACCCUCAACUUCAGAGGCUGAGCUGCUGCCGUGUUGGACUACAGGGCUCCAGGCUGGGGUGAAGGGCAGCAACACCACCUGGAAAUGUGCAUGGAGGAUGAUCCUGAAGCAGAGUCCCCCUAGGCUGUCAGUUCUUUCUACUGCCACCUUAGGUGUCACUGAGCAGAGAAGGGCAACCCUACUGAUUCCUUUUAAAUCUUGGCACAAAAUAGGCUAGCAUAACGAAAUGGUUGUUUAUGCAGCUAAACCUGGACAGUCUGCGCAUACAUCUACAGCAGCCAUCACCGCCAAACGGUGAUGCUCUCUUCUGGUUCAUAGCUUUCUGUUCAGCAGAGAAGGGGGGGUGGGGACUAUUGACUCUUGAGAAGUCCUGGUUGGCUGAUGCACACCUGUUUUCUCAUUCCUAACAUGUGAGGAAAGUACCAUUGGCCUUAUAGUACAGAGAACAAGACUCUGAGAGGUUCAGUGGUUUCCCUAGGGCCACAGACUUAGAACACAGACACAGUUUCUUCAAGGGUCGCACCCUUCUCUACCAUGCGGCACAGCCCUCCGUGUGAGCCCUGGAAGAACUUUAAACAGUCCACUCCCACCACUUCCCAGACCAAGAUCCGGGGAGGCAGCUGGAGAGAGGGGUAGACUUCCUGCCUCCCAGAUACUCUGGUUUAUUCUUUGUGUGUCAGGAAAAUCAUUAAUAUCUGCUACUUGUAAGUCACAAGUGGCCCAAUUGGGACUAUAAAUACUAUGCCCCCCCCCCAAAAGGUGUUUUAAAAAUGCAACUUUUUGAGUAGAAUAGGAUAAGGUGCUGUUGAGUGACUGAAAUGGCAUGAAGGUCACAGUCAUUAUGUACCACAGUUUAAAAGUUUUCAUGUCUGAAUUAACAAACACAGUCAUACCUCAAAUAAGAUACCACAAGUAAAAUAGGCCUCAGUUGUAUCUGUCAUCCUGUUUGAUGAGACUGCAUAUGACCAAAAUGGCAGCAGCCGUCCCUGUCUCUCUUGGGUAUAAUACUAGGCCAGGCUUCGUUUCUCAAAAGUGUGGUCCACAAACUAUGAAUGGCAGGCUGGUGGGGAGAUAGGCUAAGGUUAUCACACUUCACCAGGGACCACAAAGCCAUUUUCACAGGUAGGCCCAGGACUCAACAUUUUGAGCAAGUCCUCAUCAAAUUCUGUGGAAGACGGUUCUGAGAUUACAUGCUUAGGGUCAGGGAACGCUGGGGUCCUAGAGAGAGAUAAUUGAUUGGAGAGUGUUGUUUAGUUAGCCUGCUUAAUUUAAAAUUGUGAAUGCAUUGAUACUUUGGACUAGGAGUUUGCCCACCCUGCCCUGCCCAGGGCCAUGGUCACCUCAUUCAGGGCUGUUGAGAGAUGGCAUUGGUCUUGAUCCCACACUGCCUACUCAUGGGUCAUAAACUCACCUACCAGGACGAGGAGAGUUGCUUUAUUUUAUUGUAGAAACGGUGGUGGGUUAUGAGUUCAGCUUAGUCUUUUUCUCAGUAUGGUCUAGAUGAAUCUCACAGAAGGGCUGCCACACACUCUCUAAUAAUGAACUACAGAGACAGUGGCUGUGUGGGCCAGAGUCUAUUCCAUUCGGGUCCGCUGGAAAUAACGCUGGGCAAAGGGGAGUGUGGGCAGGAGCCCUACAGACUCAGGUGAGUGAAGGCAGGUACCUCCCUUUCCCUUGGUAUCUGUGAACCUGCAAUCAGGACUUGGCAACAGACUGAGGAAGCCCGACGGGAAACCAGGAAUUGAGCUUUGGAAUCAACUUUCUUAUUUGUAUGGAGGAGUAAACUGAGGCACAAAGAAAGGCACUUGCUGCACUAAAUCCCGGCUCGUUCAGUUCCCGACUGUGUCACCUAGGAAUAUGCCCUGUUCUCUCUGAAAUGUAGGGUGACAGCAGGGCCAGUGGUCUUCGUGCUGCGUGAGUAAAACAGCGCGAACAUGGGUGGAGGGUGGAGAUGGCUUGGCGAUGCAGCUGCUGUUUGCUGCCUCCACAGAGCUAGCAGGCCCAGACCUGGCUGUAUGCUCCCAAGUGUGAGCUUCUGUGGUCUCCAGAAUCUCAGCACGCAGGCUCACCAGAUACCUGCGUUUCCCAGUGCAGUCAAGUACUAUUUUUAAGAACUUUCUAGACAGAAAGUGCCUGGGGACAAUGGGCUCUGGCUGGCUGCCUCCAGUUUCAUAGUCUGUUCUCAGGGGUGGGUGGGUGGCCUCUAUGUCCUGUCUGUCUGUUUCCCCAGGUGCCCUGUACAGCUGCCCCAUUCCUGCUUGUUUGCUACAUGGGGUCACAGAUGUGAGGCUAAGGCCUCAGACUCUAUAGCCACUUAGUAGGGAUCUGUUCCUCAACAGCAAGCUCUCCCUGAGGUUUCUGACUGCUAGGUUUGUGUGUGUCUUUAAUCCCUAACCCCUAAUCUCUACCUCCCUUUGCUCCUUUGUCGGAGUUUGAGUGGGAAUGUUUACCUCACAGGAUGGUUAGGAGACUAAAAAGGAAGGGGCAAAGCGCAGGGAGUUGCCCUUCCCUGUACACAGUAGUGCACUGGUCACUUUUAACCUAGCCUUGUGAAUUCAGAGGAGACUUAGGUUAUAGAAAUUGCAGUUUGAAAUGCAAUAUUUUAAAUAAUCACAAAGAUAAAAUGUCAAAAUUGAGAGGUAAUUGAAAUUAUAGUGUGACCCUAUAAAGUCAAUGAAAUUGACAGUGGGUCUCAGAGAGAGAGAGAGAGAGAGAGAGAGAGAGAGAGAGAGAGAGAGAGAGAGAGAGAGAGAGAGAGAGAGAGAGAGAAGAAGCUAAGGAAGGGACUUCAAAACUUUUUUCUCUAGCUCUGUGAGUUCCUCCCUAACUUCUGCCUUUCCACUUCUGCCUGGGCUUUUCAUAGUUGUUUAAGACAUUGACUUAAAAAUAAAUGUGCCAGGAGGGCCUAUUCAGGUUGAUAAGCUUAUAUCGCAGGACUUUGAGGGCAGUUGUGGUCAACAGUAAAUCCUAUCAGUGGAGUUCAUUUGCAUUUACUCCUAAAUUAGAUAAAGGAAACCAGUGCAGUGGGCAAGCAGAAUACACUUCACAGGAUUUCAGAAUGGAGAAAGAGCUUUCUUUAGAGGAGUUGCUGAAUCAGUGCGGGUAAUGGCUGACCCAAGACCCUGGCUUCUUAAUCCUUCUCCUUUUGUGCAUAGCUGCUCCAUUGUUCAGGGUGGGUCAGGUGAUGAUGAGGUAACAAGCACCUCCAAGGCCCAAGGCUCUCAGAGGCAGAAACAAAAUCCUUAAGUGACAAAUCUUUUAUCAGUUUAUCUGGGCCCCAGGAAGCAAGAGGCUAGAGCAACUUCUGUAGGACACACUGGCUGCCAGUUGUCAUGGUCUAGGGACAGCGUGGUAGACUGAGCUAUCUGGUAAAUUAAAAGCUACCACCUAGAAAGAGCAUACAUCACUUUGGAUCAGAGGUCAUGGUCAACGCAAGAACACAUCUAGCUAUCACGGAGCAGAGAAGUGUUCCUACUCUGGGUUUGGGUGAACAGCUCCGCUACAUCUACACACAGGCCUUUCCAUGACUGUUAGUUAUUGACUUUUUCUUUGCUCUCUUCCUGGCACCAGGCUGCUGUAGAGAUGGGAUCAUUGUUAGGUGCCUGCCUGACUCUGGAGCUAAACAAGUGCCUGGAACAAAAUGGAAAAUGGGAUAGCAGAUGGGGACUCUCUUAGUCCUCUGUGGAUCAUGAUGGAGAUGUAAAGGAUGGUUGUUAGGACUCCCCGCACCCUCGCCUGCCGUUCUUGAGUGUCCAUUGAGGCUCCGUUCUCCAUCAAGCCUGCUGCUCUCACUCCUCCUAGCACACAGUCUACACUGAUCUCUCCAAUACUCCUCCCGCCUGUUUCCAUGAGGGCCGUGUUCUUGAGCGUAGAGAGUUUGUGGCCAGAAAGCCUUCAUCUGGUGAGUGACACAGAUGUCACAGGAUGCCCGUGUUGCCUCAUCACACUGAGACUGGGAAGGAAAUCAGCUCGCACACACCGGUGACUGUCUGUCUGCCCUGUCGACAUGAUAAAGCUUUAGUGACCUUCUAGCCAGACCUUCUUGAUGCACCUAAAAUCCACAGGAUGCAUCUAAAACUUGCAAAGCUGCAGCAGUGUGACAGUGGGGGUGGCAAAGAAAAGCAUGAUGGGAGGUCACCUGAGCAGCACGGAGCUCCUGAGCCGGGCAUUGCCAACAGGUGGGACACAUUAGGACUUGUAAGGGCACUGGAUGGGUUUGCCAUUACGGUCCUAUUACCCAUCAAAGUAAAUACAUUAAUAAUUGUACCUUAUGGCUAUUUAACCAACAAAUAUUAUCCUUAUCUAUCACAAUAUUUCCUUUCUCAUGAGAGUUCACUACUUUCUUUUUGUUUAAAAACAUUUUCCUCUGUACUCUGAAAGUCUGUGGGAUGUUGACCACCUGUUGGACCAGAUGGUGAAGCUGUCCAUGCUAACGGCCAGCAAAUGUCUGUAUCCUCAGGAUGGCCUUGGGAGGCUGAAUAGUUAUGAAUAGGGGCUCUUUUAAUUACUCUAAGUGGUAAUAAUACACGUUACAAAUGGGUGUGGUUCGUAAAGUGGGAGAUCUUAAUUACAUAGACAAUCUACAUGUCAGUGUCUCAUGGUUAGCAAUAGGCUUGUCUAUGAAGACCUUGACAUUCCAAAGCAAAACUCAAAACAUUCGUUUUAGGGACAAAGGCCAGAGGUUUUAUAAAUUUUGAGGUGCUGUGGCCUUUGGUCAGAAUCCUGCUUCUUGUGCAAAAGUCUUCUUGGGCAAGUCGUUUCAUUCUGUGCUGGGACUUCCUUCUAAGUGAGAUAGGAAGACAGAAGCCCCACUGAGGGCAUGAAAUGAAGUGUUUGCAAAGUCCUCUCUGUGCAAUGCCUGGGUUACCGUAUAUUUUCAGUGUUGGUUACUAUAAUUGCUAUUAUAAUUGUUAUAAUUAUUAUUAUGAAGUUAUCUUAUUUGACAGAAAGAGAAACUCAGGAUUCGCCAUCAUUUUGUAAGGCAAUCAUUCUGCUAAGUUCAGACAGGUAGUUCAGAAAAAAAGAUGUCAGAGGUUAGCAUUAAGCAAUAAUUUGCAAAGGGAAAAAGGGGGAGGAAACAGAGACGUUUCAAAGAUAUUUGACCUGUAAUAGUCCUCUUUUCCCUGCUCUAUCCAGCAGUGGGCAUGAGCUAUGUCCUCUCCAGCAUGUUCACACUCUGUGUGUUACCUUCCUGUAGUGACUUGGCUCUUUUUGGCUUUAUCAGAUCAACUGUCAUGUGUUGCUCGGUUUUAGUUCCUGGAACCUUUUCGUAGUAGGCUAAUGUGUUGUCACAACCCAUUACCUGCUUUAUCCUCAAAUGACCUGAUUAUGUAAGCUUUGUAUCAUCUCAGAUCAUCACAAGAAGGGUGACGGUAGCACAGUAUUGAGAGAGAGAGAGAGAGAGAGAGAGAGAGAGAGAGAGAGAGAGAGAGAGAGAGAGGAGGAGAGAUCAUUUACAUAAUUGUGGCAAUUGCUCUAUUUUACUCCCAUGGCUGACAUACUGUGCUAAUCUACAAAUUCAGCUUCAUCAUAGGUACACAGAUGUAAGAAGAACCGUAGUUUAUAACAGGUUUGGUACUGGCUGCAGCUUCAGGUACCUGCUGGAGUCAGGGAACAUAUGUCAUGGAUAGGACGACUUAUUGAACUGAUCUUCAUCAACUAAAGACCUCUGGAGACCAGGCUCAUGGAGAAAAGACCAGCAGGGAACUGAGAGGGGAAAACUUUAGCUGCGGAAGGCAGGCAUUCUUUUCUGAUGUUUAUAGGAGGAGAGAUUGCUCAGUUACACAGCGGCACUGGCCAUACUGCAUCUAGAAUGACUAAAAUCUUAGUCGGGAAACAAUCAUACAAACAGCAUGGUUUGGUCUCGUCAUCCUGCGUUCCCCAGCACAAGCGGGUUACGGCUGGAUGCAUCAUACCAGAAAUAGGAAAGAGGAAAGCACCGCCCAGAAUACAAAAGUAAUGAGGCCAUUUUAACAGCAUCAGCAAUGUUAAUGACAUUAAUAUUAACAUAUUUGGUGUUUUUAAUUAGGAAAAAGCUCCCUCCAUUUUUUUGGCAGCUGUGUGUGUUAUACCACAGUGUGGCUACUGCCUUAAAUCAAUGGCUGAGUCUGGUUCGUUUGCCUAAACCUCACAACUAAGUUUUGGACCUUCAGUAAUAGAUCUUAGAUCUAUGCUAUCUGUUGAAUUCUUAGUGGGCCAGAGAGAUGGUUCAGCAGGUGAGGGGUGCUUGCCACCAAGUCUGACAGCCUGACUUCAAUAACUCACACCCACGUGGUAGAGAGAGAAAGCCGACUCAGUAAGCUGCCCUCUGAUUGCCACAUGCUCUCCACGGCACAUGCGUGGUCCCCCCUGCAACAAAGUUAAUCCAAACAAUAAUAACUGCUUUUGUUGGGCUACUACUGUUCCUUUGCCCUGUGCCAAUCUCGACUCACAGUUUCCCAUGGUUCCUUCACAAGGUGUGGGUUUGCAGCCCCAUUGGUAGUUGGAGAAACUCAGACUCCCUGAGGGUACAUGACUUACUCCUGAUCCUAAUUUUUGUUCUCACUGAAGGUCCUGCUUCACUUCACGGGACAAGAUCGUUGUGCUUGGUACCUAUGCUUGGCAUUUGAGUGGAUAUAAUUUUAAUCUUUAGUGACUACUAGCCUGUGUGUAAAGUAAGUACAAACCGCUGUAAAACAGAACCCAGCCGGGCUAGAAAGAUGCCAUCACUUAUACAAAUGAGUAGACAGGUAGAAUUUUUCAGAAAUGAGGCUGAGACAUAAGGAGAAACAGAACUCACCGCUCCUCAUCCAUCAGGAUUAGUCCUCAGGUGUGAGGCCUUGACUAGCUAGGCUAGACAGCGUCAACCUUUGUUUGCACCUGAAGGUCAGAGGAGCCUGCAGGCGGAGCCCAAGUAAGGGUGCCAUUAUUGCUCUGCUCAGAAUGACUUUAGGGGUCUCCGCACUGCUUUCUGCUGUCGGUCCUCUUGGGGAUUUCAAUAUUCACAGCGUUGGAUGUAACAAGCUCUGCUCCUCAGAGAAAGGUCAGCUUGUCAAGACACGGAGACAAGCUGUGAAUUGGUCUUUCAUGCAGAGCAUGGUUCACAAGGCCAGACCUCAGCCUUACCCAUUCUCAAGAACUCAUUCAUUGCCUAGAUGUGAAAAAUAGCCCUCAGUUCCUCCCUCCGUCAUUUUCCACAUUGCCUUUUGUGAGCCUGAAUAUCUCGGAAGAUUGUGGGUUUGAUAAAUAAACAAUAAACAAUAUUUUAGAGAA